AACCCAAAGACCAAGACUUGGACAUGCAAUGAGCAAGCUCCACCUAAUCUCUUCUUUGACUUUCUCAAGCUCUAGGACAUCUCAUAAACUCUCUUGCUCUCAUUUUUCCACGGGUACACAUACAAAUCAGAAAUUUGAGCUCCUUUGCUCUCUUUUUCUCUCAAGGAAAGAGCUAGGAAGCUCUCUUAGGUCCACUUUGUCAAGCCCAUGGGUCCACAAAUUAAAAGAGAGAUAAGGCUUCAUCAUCUUUUCUUCUUUCUACUCUUUUAAAUGCAACUAGAAUAGUUAAGAGCUCUCUCCCUCUUUCAUUCCUACGGGUCCAACACCAAAAGAAGGAAAAGCUCUCAAUUAUUUUUCUCCCUUUCACACCUACAAGUCCAGCAGCAAGAAGGAAGCUUCUUUCAACUCUCUCAAGCUCUCUACCUCUCAUACUUUCUGGUCCAACCACUAGGAGAGGGAAAUCCUUUCAUGUGUUACCAGUAUCCAAGUCUAAGCUCCUUCGACUUUAGGCUCUCGAUUCCUCUGCUUUCAGGUAAGGGAUAAGUUAUAUGGGCAUUUGGUAAGUCAUGAGGUUAUUUUAAAGUAUACUAUGCAUUAAAAUGUUUUUGAUUAGAGAUAUGGCAUGUAAUCAUUAUUCUGACAAAGAUAUGUUCGUGAACUUUCGAAAAACUUAUGUAUAUGAUUUAAGCAUAUUGAUACUAUUAUUGAUUCCACGAACAUGAUGUUUAAAGAAAAGAAUAGAAAUGCUAUUAUUAUGAAAUGUUAUGCAAAAUAAGAAAUUUCAGUAUGAUGUAAAGUAUGAAAUGUUUUCGGGUUAUGUCCUCUGGUGAUCUGAACUCUGCCAAUAGGGGAUAAUUACUGGCUUUUCAUGGAAAAUGUUAUAUGAUUGGCCAUUAAGUGGGACUGGCUUUGCUGUACCCGCCCCUUGUUGGUUACGGCCAACUUGUGGGGGAAGCCAACCUACCCCCAUGGUUGGAAGAUAUGUAUUAUGAUGUGAUCCCGGGAAUACCUGACAUUGUGGGGAAUGCUGGAUGCCUAGCACCGUAGUGCUAGAAGCCUCCCAAAUAAGUACAAACUUAUCAGAUAUGGGCUAACCAAUAAGCUAUUUAUGAACAGCUAUAUUAUGUUAUUAAUCACGAGAGAAUGAUUUUGUUAAAUGCAUUGUGAAAAGUUAAAAGCUCUCCUGAAAAUAAGAAGUUUCUGAUGAAAAGAAAGCUGUUCAUUAAAGAUAAAAGUUUUUGAAGUUCUAUUGUGCUUUAAAGAUAAAGAAUCUGAUAGGUUUUAAUGUUCUAUAAAGAUAAAGUUUCUAAUGAAAGUACAAGUUUACAUUAAAAGUUAUCAGACAUCUGUUCUUUAUGAAUCGUUAAGUUUUAUGACUAUGAAAGUUAUAAUAUUUUACGAGAAGAGGUUUAUAAAGAAAGGUUUUCUUAUUAAUCAAGAUGUUUCUAGUUUAAUACAAAGUUACCGAUUAUCUGAUUUAAGUUAAAAUGAUUAUUUUGUAAUGAGAAUAUAUAUGGUGACUUUGUAGGAAAUGCUAGAAGUUUAAUCCGAAAGGUUUUGGUAAUAUUAAUCUGAUAAGAAAAAUGAGAACAAUUAUUUUCCUACGAAGAGUGUACAAGUUAUUAUCAUAAAUAGUAUAAAUACUAUGCAUGAAAAGAUGUUCUCCUAUCUGAAUAAUCAUAAAAUAAAAUGAUUUACAUGCAUCCUUAUUAAAUUCUCAUAUAUCUUACCUUUACUGAGCUGUGUAGUUCACCCCUUCCACUCUUUCAGUUAGCAGGUUUUAUUUUGGAGCAAAGGGAGCCUUAGUCGAGUUUGGAAGGAGCUGGUUUUAGUUUUAUAUGUAUAGAUCCUAAAUUAGCAAUUUGAUGUUUAGAUUUGUAGUAUUGUGUAUUUUAGGAUCUAAUGAAAGUGUAUACCUUAAAGUAUUUAGAGAUGUAUUAUGUGAAAUUCUGAAUUUGAACAAUUGGUGGAUUAUGUUAUAUUUUGAGUACAGUGUAGAUGCUCUGAA